GGGGAUGUAGCUCAGUGGUAGAGUGCUUGCCUAGCAUACAUGAGGCUCUAGGUUCAAUCCCCAGUUCCCCCC
rfam:Fukomys damarensis contig159067, whole genome shotgun sequence.